CUGAGUUGCGCUCCGAAUUAAUUAACGAAGACCAGAGCUUUGAGCCUAUUUGGGGUAUUUCUGGUUCUCUCCACUCAUUUUAUUUUCACUGUUUUAGCAUGGAGAUUGAAAAUCACUUAAAAGAAAAUGUCAUUUUGGAAGCCUUGUUGCUAUGACAAUCCUGACAAUUGAUCCUACAGGAGGUUGGAGCCUGUUGAAACAUUGUCCCUCUGAUUUAUUUAGAGUUGAAUAAGAACUAUAAGGUAAAAAUAUAUAGUUAGGUUAUUAUCGUCAAUUACUUUACAGAUAACACAGUCAAUUUAACUUGCAGAAUAUUUUUUCCUGUUUUUUCCCUCAGUGAAAAGGCAGCACAUGCUUAUUCAUGAUGUGCAAAAAUGCAUGAAAGCACAAGAAAUAAAGUGAAAACCAUCUUAAACUUUAUCA
rnacentral:lncRNA from 1 species